rnacentral:lncRNA from 1 species
GCGGCCGCCCUCAGCCUCAGUCUCCAAAUCCGAGAAAGGACCGAAGUGACAUGCAGACUAAACGUGAAUGAUGUAACUUCCCAGGAUUGCCAAGGUGGGAUCCUCCUUGUACCAGCCGGCCUUGAAGACAAUUAACCAGCACCUUUCCUUCCUUCUUGCCCUCCCAUCCGCCCCUAGAGCCGCCCAUCCGAGCAGGGGUGGCGGCUGCCUGUAGUCUUAGCAGCUGUUUCUCAGUUUCUUCAGCCAGGAUUGAGCAGACCCGGCGACACCAGGCUCUCCACGGAGUCCUUCAGGCCAGAUGCCUUGCUUUUCCUUCCCAAGAGGCCUGAUGUCAUCUUGGGAACAGCCAGAAAGGGGCAGGAGUCAGGGAGGAGUUAUUUCCACUGCUGCCCCUCCCUCCCCCGCUUCCCCCCUCCCCAGCCCUGCCCCUGACAUGGCCCUGGAACCUCCCACAGCCUCUCCUCCCACUUGCUCCCCCCACCCCCGCCCCCACCCCCAGGCCCUGCCCUGGGCCAGCACAGUCUGUGUGAAUGUCUAAUCUCCAAUUUUAUUCUGCUGGGCUACAGCCCAUUUGCAUAAUCCACACAGGCACCCUGGUUUUAAUUGCCCACAACUCUGCAGAAAGAUCAUGUGGUUAAGUGGUAAAUCAUAAUUAGAUAAAUAAUUGGUUUGGCCACAGCAAGCUGCUUCUGUUUCACCUGCCAUCUGCCGGACCCGGUUUCUCUUCUGGCCGGAACAAUGCGCUUCUGAUGACAGAGCACACUGCUGCUCCUUUGUGGGGGCGGAGGGGGCUGAGCAGAGGGGCUUGGAAACCGAGCCUGGAAAAGUGCCCGAUUGCUGGGGUCUCUUUCCCCAAGCCAGGCAAGCCCCACACUUGCCAUUCGCCCUGUGUGGGUAGGGGCGGGGCGGGGGCGGGGGCGGGGGAGAGUUCUGGAUCCGCUGUAGAAAGGGAGGCUUGGGUCUGAGCAGAGCGGGGCGGGACUGGCUUGCUUGAUUGAACCUGGGAUCACCUGUGUAGGGCCGACCUGGGGGCCUCAUUCCUUGGGGCUCUGAGGGAGUUGGUGGGCAGAGCUGGAGCAGGCAGGCCUCCCUGCC